rnacentral:rRNA from 1 species
UGAGGAAUCUUGGACAAUGGGCGCAAGCCUGAUCCAGCCAUGCCGCGUGAGUGAUGAAGGCCUUAGGGUUGUAAAGCUCUUUUGCCGGGGAUGAUAAUGACCGUACCCGGAGAAUAAGCCACGGCUAAAUUCGUGCCAGCAGCCGCGGUAAUACGAAUGUGGCGAGCGUUGUUCGGAAUCACUGGGCGUAAAGAGUACGUAGGCGGCUUGACAAGUCAGGAGUGAAAACCCAGGGCUCAACCCUGGAAUUGCUUUUGGAACUGUCUCGAUCAAAACACGGAGAGGUUGGCGGAAUUCCAAGGGUAGAGGUGAAAUUCGCAGAUAUUUGGAGGAACACCAGUGGCGUAAGCAGGCAACUGGACGUGUAUUGACGCUGAGGUACGAAAGCGUGGGGAUCAAACAGGAUU